rnacentral:rRNA from 1 species
AGAACGAACGCUGGCGGCAUGCCUAACACAUGCAAGUCGAACGAGACCUUCGGGUCUAGUGGCGCACGGGUGCGUAACGCGUGGGAAUCUGCCCCUCGGUUCGGAAUAACACAGAGAAAUUUGUGCUAAUACCGGAUAAUGACGAAAGUCCAAAGAUUUAUCGCCGAGGGAUGAGCCCGCGUAGGAUUAGCUUGUUGGUGGGGUAAUGGCCUACCAAGGCGACGAUCCUUAGCUGGUCUGAGAGGAUGAUCAGCCACACUGGGACUGAGACACGGCCCAGACUCCUACGGGAGGCGGCAGUGGGGAAUAUUGGACAAUGGGCGAAAGCCUGAUCCAGCAAUGCCGCGUGAGUGAUGAAGGCCUUAGGUUGUAAAGCUCUUUACCCGGGAUGAUAAUGACAGUAACCGGAGAAUAAGCUCCGGCUAACUCCGCGCCAGCAGCCGC